GACGGAGGGUGCUAGCGUUGUUCGGAAUUACUGGGCGUAAAGGGCGCGUAGGCGGCCUGAUCAGUCGGGUGUGAAAGCCCGGGGCUCAACCCCGGAACGGCACCCGAGACGGUCAGGCUGGAGACCGGGAGAGGAGGGUGGAAUAGCCAGUGUAGAGGUGAAAUUCGUAGAUAUUGGCUGGAACACCGGUGGCGAAAGCGGCUCUCUGGCCCGGUUCUGACGCUGAGGUGCGAAAGCGUGGGGAGCAAACAGGG
rnacentral:rRNA from 1 species